rnacentral:tRNA from 2 species
AAUAAUAUGGUGUAAAUACUAAGCACUAUACUUUUUGGUAGUAUAAGAGAAUGAUUUCUAUUAUUU